CCUCUCCUUAUGCCUCGGAAAGGGUGUUGGGUUGUUUCUGUCUCUUUUUCUUUCUUUUUAAAAAUGUGGUCAUUAGGCCAAAGCAUUAUGAUGGACGGGUUAAUUGAAUGAUUAAUGACAAAAUAUGUUUAUGCUUUGAUACACAACAUUCAUUUCAGUGUAUUUAUAUCAGCACAGAAGUGAUGCUUUAAAUACAAUGCCAUAUUUGGCAAUAAAAGCAAACAAAAAUUUAACUAUGGACAGCACUAAUGCGGUAAGAUUACUAAUUCAUUAUUAUAAUUGGUAAUGAAUGGGGAAAAUUUUGAAAAAGCAAAGUGUUAAAUAGGAUUUAAAAGGGAAACUCUUUGUGAUCUUGAAUCAUUGUAAUGUUUUGAUACAUCAUGAGCAAUAUGAUAAAAUAAAAAUGAAUAUGAAAUUGAAAAAGGGGGGGUGGGAGAACCCUGGGAAGUCAGAGCAGGGCGGGGCCUUAGAACACAUAAUCUCAUAGCUGGAUUGGUGGGAUGUUUAUGUGCUGAGUUGGACACGGUAUUGGGAGUUAAUUUUUAAAAAUAAUAAUAAAAGAUGUUUUGAUAUGAAACAGUUAUGUCAAUAUAAUUUGUAUCAGCACAGGGGUGAUGCUCUGAAUUAAAACUCAGUUCCAGAACCACACAGCCAAAGAGGAAAGGUGAAAAUACAAUGUCAUAUAUUGCUACCUAAAAAAAAAAAGGUAAUUAUUUGCACAGCUCUGAUCAGGUAAGACUUAAUUGAUAAUGAAUUUGUAUUUAUUGGGGGGAAAAAGUGUUAAGUAUAUGAGGUUUAAAAGAAAUUUUAUUUAAAAAUAUGCAGUGUCAUAAAAUAAAAAUAAAUAGAUAAAAAGUACAAACAUCCUAGCUUAUCAAAAUGGGAUGGGACCUCUGGCAGGUCUUUAGAACAUGGAGUGUCUGGUCUGGAAGGUACUUUUUGAGCAAUGAAUGUUAGAGCUUGAAUAAAACUUAGAAUACAGCAUUUCAGAGCCGAGAAGGCAAUCAGGGUUUUAAAUGUCAGGAUUGGGAGUGAACAUAGAAGCCAGAACAUCAGACCCAGCUGGACCCUUACAACAUAAAAUGUCUGAGCUGGGAGGUAUUGUAGAAUCUAGAAUGCCUGAUCUGAAAGGAUCUUGAGAACAAGGAAUAUCAGAGGUAGGAGUACUAGAUUGCUAAGAAGAAUCUGCAGUGUUAUAAAAAAGAAAAGGAAAAAAAAAACCUCAGGUUAGAGUUGGGUGGGGCUUUUGAACAUAGAACAUCUAGGCUAGAAGGUGCCUUUCAGAGUAAAAUAGUGGAGGUUGGAAAAUACAGAAUCUAAGAUUUGGGAGUGGACACAGAAGCCAAAAUAUCAGACCUGGGAGGGGUCUUAGAACAUGGAACAUUACACGUUCCUCCUGUAGCUGCGAGGUAUGCUGGCAACCCCCCCACCCCACCCCAACAAACCAAAAAACAUAUAGAAAAGGAAUUCUAUACAGUGACUUCACCAGGAAAGACUGCUAUUGCUAUUUCUACUAAUGAUGAUGAAUGGAGAAUCAUUUUCUUUAAAAAGUAAGAGUAUAAGUACAUAGGAUUUUAAACCACUAUAUGCUAAGAUAGAUGUAAUUUAAUAAAAUAAAAAAGAAUAUGUAAAUUGAAAGUAACAAAGAACCCUAGAAUAUCAUAGGAAUGGGGAGGGGAUUAAGAUGACAGGGCUAGGAGAGUCUUUAGAACAUAAAAUGUCGGAAUUGGAGAGACUUGGAGAGAUGCCUUUCAAGAGAGUAUACCAUAAGUUGGUCAUAGUUUAGAAUAGCACACUUGAGAGGUAGAAGUGACCUACUAAGAAUCACAGAAUGUCAGAGUGGGGAGGGUCUUCUAGCUAGCAAGAUGCUUAUUAAUGUGCUCAGUAGGUUAAUGUAUUAGGGAAGACAGUGGACAAAGGUAUAGGGUAGAACGUGUAACUUAAAAAAAAACUAAUAGUGUAUAUGCUAUGAGAUGCAAUGUGUAUUUCUCUAUAAUUUCUUUCUGCACAAUUUUGAUGCUCUGAAUUAAAAGUCAGGUCCUGAACUACAUCGCCAAAGUGGAAAGGUGACUAUACAGUGUUUUAUUUGGAUACCCCUCCAAAAAAAAAUGUCUAAGCAUGGAUCAGGUAAGAUUGCUAUGGAUAUUAAUAUUGUGUGAUGCAAUGCAUAGAAUGCUAGACCUGGAAUUAGGAAGACCUGAGUUCAAAUUUGGCCUCAGACACUUACUUGCUGUGUGACCCAGGACAUGAUUUGGUUGUAUUUCUUGAAAAAUAUCCAGUGUUAAAUAUACACGACUUAAAAAGGACACCAUUUGUGCUUUUAAAUCACUGUAUUGCUAAGCAUAUGAAAUGUAAUAAAUAAAAGGAAAUAAAUAUAUUAAAAGGAAAAAAGAACCCUAAAAUAUCAGAGAAGGAACCGGGCUCUGAGGUUCUUUAGAAUAUGGAAAGUUGGAUGGAACUUAGAAUAGUGAAUUUCAGAGGUGAGAGGAGUUGGGAAGACUGGGAAAAGGGUUGGUUGGUUUUUUUCAUGUGUCCAGAGGGCCAAUGUAUUGGAAUGGACAGAAAAAAUGUUUAAGAGAUAAUAAUUAUGUAUAUUUAUGGUAUAAGAGACAAUAUUUAUUUCUGCACAAUUUUGAUGCUCUGAAUUAAAAGUCAGGUUCUGAACUUCACUGCCAAAAUGGAAAGGUGAACAUAUAAUGCCUUAUAUGGAUACUCAAAAAAAAUUCUAAGCACGGAUCAGGUAAGAUUGCUGUGGAUUUUAAUGUUAUAUGAUGCAGUGCAUAAUGUGUUUGGCCUGGAAUCAGGAAGAUUUGAGUUCAAAUUUGACCCCAGACACUUGUUUGCUGUGUGACCCAGGACAUGAAUUGGUUUUAUUGAAAAAUAUAAAGUGUUAAGCACCCAAGUCUUAAAAGGACAUCAUUUGUACUUUAAAAUUAUUGUAAACCUAUGCAGUGACAUAAAAGAAAAAAGUCUCAGAAGGUCAGAGCCUUUGGGCCAUAGUCCAAAAUACUAUGAGGUUGGCAGGGUAAGGCGGGGCAGGACAGGGCUGGGGGUAGGGUUCAUCUUUUAAAGUAGAAUGUUGGAGGUGGAAGAUAGCUUUAGCCAACAGAAUCUCCCAGAUGAGAGGUUAGGCUGCACGUUGAAUGUCAGAACUGAAAGUUGACACAGAAACCUGUGAGGAGACUUAGAACGGGAAAAUACAAUCUGGGAGGCAUCUUAGCUUCCAGAAGGCCUGAGGGAGAUGGAGCCUUAGAAACAUUGGAAUGCCCCAGUUUGGAGGCAUCUUCUAAAACAGGAAGUAGGAGAUGGUCAGAAUAUGAGACCCCCAAACUGGCAAAGCCCAUGAGGCUUUAGGACAUAAAAAUGUCAGGCCUGGAAACAGCCCUAGAGAGGAGAAUCUUAGAGCUGGCCGGGGGCAUACAACACACAAUGUCAGAAGGUGAGGUGCAGUGGUUUGUAUUUUCACAGUGGGCUAAAUUAUUGGGAAUGAUUGUUUAAUCUAGGAAAAAAAGGAUAACAAAGCAGAUUUAUGCUAGGAGAUACAACAUGGAUUUCAGCAUAAUUUAUGGCAGCUCUGAACUAAGUCAGGUCCUGAAGCACAGACACAAAGAAGAACAGUAAUAAUACAGUGCCUUAUCUGGCUACCCCCACGUUCCCCCCCUCCCCCCCAAAAAAAGGUAAUUCCCUGUAUGGCCCUGAUCAGGUAAGACUCCUACUGAUAACCAAUGUUACUGGGAAUAAAGUGGUUGAAUUUAUAAAAGGAAAUAAAGUGUAGUUAUUCAAGAUUCAAAAGGGACACCAUAUGUGUUUUUAAAUCAUUAAAGAAAAGAAAAAAAAAACCUUGAAGAUCAGAGUUGGGUGGAGCAUAGACUGUUAGCCCAAAGAGGUCCUUAGAGCAUGGAAUGUCUGUACUGGGUGUGUAUCUUUUGAAGGGUGAAUGUUAAGAGCUGGAAGAGAAGUUGAGUUGGGGACAGAAUGUCAGAAUUGUGAGUGAGAAUUGUGAGAAGCUAAACUUAGAACAUAAAGGGGCUGAGCCUGGAGACCUCUUCUAAUUGAGAAUACUUGAGUAGAAAGGAUAUUGAGAAGAGGGAAUACAGUGGGAAAUGAUGAGCAAGUGAGAAGCCAGAAUGUCGGAGCUGCUGGGAUGUUAGAAUGUGAAACUCAUAGUUUCACAAAAGCAUAGCAAAGUGAUGGAGGUCAGAGUUAGUGUGGGGCUCAAACCAGAGACUGUCAGGGCAGGGAGAGCCCUCAGAAUGGAGAGUCUGAGUUAGGAGGGGCCUGAGAACACAGAAUAUCAUAGUUUGGAUGGAGGGUUGUUUGUUUUGUUUGGUUUUUUGUUUGUUUGUUUGUUUUUCGCUCAGUGGGCCAAGAUAUUGGGAGUGCCUGGUUAAUUAAAAGAAGACUAACAAAGUCUACUUAUGGUAUAAGAUGGAACAUUCAUUUCAAUGUAAUUUAUAUCAACACUAUUGAUGCUCAGAAUUUUAAAAGUCAGGUCCUGAACUUCCCAGAGAUAAAGAGAGGUAAAAAUACAGAGCAUCAUUUGGAUACAAAAUUUUAAAAAAUUAUUUCUGUGCACUGCUUUGAUUGGGUAAGAAUAAAGUUGAUAUUCAUGUUGGUGACCAUCGAUUGUAUUUAUUGAAAAUGUAAAGUGUUAAGGAUGCAGUAUUCAAAAGCACCACCUUUGUGCUUUUUAAUCACUGUAUUGCUAAGAAACAUAUGCAGUGUCAGAGAGAUGUAAAGAACAAUCCCUGGGAGGUCAGAGCUAAAAUCCAGAGGUAAGGAGGGCAGCUAGGUGGCACAGUGGAUAAAGCACCAGCCCUGGAUUCAGGAGGACCUGAGUUCAAAUCCGGCCUCAGACACUUGACACUUACUAGCUGUGUGACCCUAGGCAAGUCACUUAACCCUCAUUGCCCCACCAAAAAAAAAAAAAAAUCCAGAGGUAAGUGGGGUCUUUAACACACGAUAUAGAUAGUGAAGGUGAGAGGGCAUUGUGUUUUGUUCUAAUUUCAUCAGGCCAUGGAAUGAUCAGAUCGUUGUUUUUUUUUAAAUGCCGUGAUGGAAUGAUAUGAAAUGUUGAUUUCAAUAUAAUUUAUAUCAGCAAAAUGAUGACAUUCCAAAUUCAAACUCAGGUCCUGAACCACACAAUCAAAGAGGAAAAUACAGUGCCUUCUUUGCUAUGCCCCUUCCCCCAAAUACAGAAAAAAUAAUUUCAUGAAAUAUUUUAGAACACAAAUUGUCAAAACUAGAAGGGGCCUUAGAACACGUGCUAUAUAGCUGGGAAGGAUUUUUGUUUAACACUUGCUCCAUGGACCAAGGCAUUGGGAGGGAUAGAUUAAUUUAAAAAAUAAUAAAGUACAUUUAUAAUAUGAUAUGUGAGACUUAUUUCAAUAUAAGUUAUAUCAGAAUAGUUUUGAUGUUAUGAAUUAAAAGGUUAUCUGGCUACCAGGAAAAAAGUAGUAUCAUGCAGGUCCUUGAUCAGGUAAGACUGCUCUGAGAGAAUAGUAUUUGUAAUUACCUGACUAAAUCUAUUGGAGAAAUAGUGUUGGGCAAGGUUGAGUUUGUAAAUUGACAAGACACACUUCUACAUUUAAUCUGCUUUAGUAACAUUUUCCCAUCACUUUAAGUCUAGACAAUAAAACAAUCCAGCCCUAAUUUUUAGCUUUUGUCGAUUUCCAAGAUGUAGAUGCUUACCCUAAAAUUUUUUUAACAUUAGACUUUCACAUUCCAGUAUUAGCUAGCUAAAGCACACCAGUGUUAAUUAAACAAGAUUUUUUAAAGUACAUGAUUUAUGCUUUCAGAGCAAUGGAUGUCUAAACCAUAUUCAAAGUCCUAAAAUAAAACUGAGUAAACAGAAAAAAAAAAUCCCAGCUUGCUGGGGCCUUAGAACAGAGAAGGUGAGGGCUGGGAGGUGUCUUUUCAAGGACUAUUGGAUAUGGGAGAGAUUUUAGAGUACAGAAUUGCAGAGCUUAGAGGGCACUUAGCGUAUAGAAUGUAUGAGCUAGGAGGCAUUUAUAAUGCAGCAUGACUUAGCUGAAAUUGCCUCUAGAACAGGGAUUGUCAGAAGGUGGGAGGAACCUUAGAGAGUGGAAAGGCCAUUGCCCUCUGCUUUCAGAAAUUGUCAAAGUUUACAGGACUUUAGGAAACAACAGAAUAUCUGAGGAGUUUUAGAAACAGGGAUGUCUGAACUGAUGGAACCCUUAAACCUAGAAUAUACAGUUUGGAGGUACCUUAUAACAGGAAGUGGGAGAUGGUCAGUUUGAGAAUCCAAACUGUAAGAGGCCAUGGAACCUUUGAACACAGAAUAGUCAACCAAGGAAAUAACCCUGGAGAAAGAGAGUCUCAAUACUGGGGGCCCAUUUAGAAUAAGAGAUCUAAGAGAGUCCUUAGAAUACAGAUUAUCAGAUAGAUGUAGCCUUUAUAUCACAGAAUAUGGGAGUUGGGAGGGCCCUCAGCACACACUCCUGUCUGGGAUGGAAUAUUUUUGCAUUUUAAUUCAUAGGCCAAGUUAUUGGGAGGGACCAGUUCACUACUUUAAACAAUAGCUAUGUAAUAUAGCACAACAUUUAAUACAAUUUUGUUAGCACCAUUUUAACGCUCUGAAUUAAAAGUCAGGUUCUGAACCAUAGUGACAAAGGAAAGGGGAACAUACACUGUCUUAACUGACUACCAAAAGAAAAGUAGCUACAUCUUCUUAAUGAGUUGUUUAUAUUUGGUGGGGGGUGGGAAUUAAAUGUAAACAAGAUUCAAGGGGAGCAUCAGUUGUGUUAUAUAUCAUUAGAUUGCUAAAUAUGGGGUUUAAUAAAAUUUCAAAAGUUUAAUAGAAAAGGGAAAAAAACCGCCAUUGGAAGGUCAGAGCAAAGGGAAGGAGUUUUUUACAUGAAUGUCCUGAAGGGCGAAUAUUGGAGGUGAGAGGGGGCUCAGAAUACAAAAUUUUAGACCUUGAAGGUAGUCUAGACACCCAGUGGCAGAACCCAGAGUGGACAGAGAAGCCACAAAAUCAGAACAGGCAGCACUCUUAAAAUACAAUGUCUCACCCAGCUGAAAGGAACCCUACCUGGAAUAGCAGAGUUGGGAUAUACCUUAAAACUCAAAAAAUCGAUGCUGAAAAGAGGCAGAGAACCUGGAAUCUGGGAUCCAGUGGGCCAAGUCGGACUUAGAACACAGAACAUCAGCUUUAAAAAACCAACAUAGCUUUAAAUAGGCGAAUAUCAGAGCUGGUAGGCUACUUUGAACAGAGAUAGCAGAUCUGGAAGCAGCCUUAAAACCACAGAUUGGCAGAGCUAGGAGGGCCCUUAAAUCAUAGAUUAGGAGCCAGUGUCAUAACUAGGUAGGAGUUCUGUUUAUGUACUCUGGAUAAGGUAUUGGAAGGGACAGGGUUUUGUUUAUUAUACUCUAUUUCCCAGCUGGAAGGGUGCUUAGAACAUGGGAUGGCAGGGCUAGGGAAGGAAGAAGGUCACAAAUAGGAGUGACCUUACAAAGCACGGAAUGCCAGAGAUGGGAAGGGUAUUCAGACUUGAAUGGGCAGAGCUGGAAACACAGAACAGCAUAGUUGGCAAAGGAUCUUUUAAAAUAACUGGGUUUUGAUAGAUUCUUUGAAAAAAUAAUAAAAGACAUUUGUGGAGUGUCAGCAACAUUUAUUUUUUACAGAAUUUAUAUCUGUGCAGUGGCGAUGCUCUGAAUCAAAACUUAGGUCUUUAACUACACUGCUGGAAAGGAAGGCAUGUGGUGCCUUCUCUGCCUCAAACAAACCAAAAAGCAAUUUCCAAGCAGUGUCCUGAUUUGGGGAAACUGUUAAUGAUUUUACUAUUGUAGUUAAUGAAGAAGCAGUAUUUAGUGGUUGAAAAAAUAAGGUGUGAAGUAUACAGAACAUUAAAAAGACACUUUUUAAAAAUCACUUUAUUGCUAAGAAACAUUUAGUUUAAAAAUAAGCAAUAGAAAAAAUACCCUGGUACAUCAGAGCAAGAUUGGUAUGUAGAAAAUAGAACGUCAAGAUGGGGAAGAGUCCCUAUAUUAUUAGAACUGAGGCAACUCUAUGGAAGCAGGAAGGCCUGAGUUCAAAUUCAGCCUCAGACACUUCCUAGCUGUGUAAUCUUGGGCAAGUCUCAGUAUCUGCCUCAGUUUCUUCAGUGUCAACACAGAUGUGUUGUGAGGCUCAAAUGGAAUGAAAUGAAAUAUUUGUCAAGCUCUUAACUGAGUGACUGGCACAUAGUAGAUAUUUAAUAAGUGUUUGUUCCCUCCUUUAGAACCAAGAGACUGGGCUGGGAGGAGGAAAGAACUUAAAAUGUAGACUUUCAGAGCUGCAAGUCUGAUCUAGGCAUCUAAUGUCAGAACAGGGAGUGGAAAAAGAAGCCAGAAUAGCAGACCUCAGAGGGUGCUUCAAAUAGAAAAUUAUCUGAGCUGGGAGCUGUUUUAGAAUCAAGAAUUUUUUUUUGGUGAGGCAGUUGGGGUUAAGUGACUUGCCCAGGGCCACAGUUAAGUAAGUGUCAAGUGUCUGAGGCUGGAUUUGAACUCAGGUCCUCCUGAAUCCAGGGCCAGUGCUUUAUCCACUGCAGCACCACCUAGCUGCCCUCUAAAUCAUUAUUUUGUUAAGAUACAUAUGUGUUGUGAUAGAAUAAAAUUUAAAUUAAUAAAAGAAAAUUUUCCAGAAGAGCAGAGCAAGGUAGGGUAUUGGAACAUAAAAUAUCAGGCUAUUAGGGUCUACUUAGCACACAGAAUGCCUGGGCCAAGAGGUGCCUUUCAACAGAAAAUGCUGGAGUUGGAAAGUAAUUUAAAAUACAGAAUUUCAGAAGGGAAACUUGAAAACAAAUCAAAAUAUCAGACUUGCUAGAUCACUUAGAACAAAGCUUUUCUGAGCCCUGAGUUGUCUUAGACUAAAAUACUUCUGAGCUUUAUGGGGUCCAGGAACCUAGAAUAUAGGACCUGGGAGAGGUUUUAGAAGACAAUGAGAGAUGAACUGAGCUGGUGGGACUGUGGCACACAGAUGAUAAGGGAGUAGGCAUUGGUAGGAUGAUGUUGGCAUUCUGUGGGCUCUUAAAACAUAUACUCAGAGCUGUGAAUGGCAUUAAGGCAGACAAUACCAGAGCCGAGAAAGUUUUUGCUUUGUUUUUUUAAUAUACUCAGUGAGUCAAGGCAUUGGGAAGUACACAUAAAUCUAAAAACCACAAAAGUAUAUGGUAUGAUAUCCAAGAUGAAUUCCCAUAUACUUUCUGUACCAUAAUGAGGUAUUCUAUAUUAAAACUCAGGGCUUGAACCAACACAGCCAAAUGGGAAUGGGGAAAAUGCUUUUAGUUACAUUAUUUGGCUCCAAAAAAGGGGAAAAACAGGCAAGAAAAGUAAUUCCAUAUAGUGCCUUGAUCUGGCAAGAUAUCACUGUUAUUGAUAAGAAAUGACAUGUCUUUGUUGAAAACAAUUAGGUGUUAAGUGCAUGGAUUUUAAAAGGGAUACCGGUUGUACUUUUAAAAUAUUGUAUUGCUAAGAUACAACAUAUACAGUGCACUAAAGUAAAUACUAAGAAAUGAAAAGGAAAAAUCCCUAGGAUGUCAAAGCAGAGUAGAUUCUAGACGUCUACGUUGGAGACACCUUUUGAAGGAAAAUAUUGAGCAUGGGUGAGAGCUUAGAAUAUAGAAUCUGAGCACUGGAGGACUGUCCGGGUCUCUAAAUGACAGAAUAUACAGCGGGGCACACAGAGAAACCAGAAUAGUAGAACUUGGAGAGCCUUCAGAAUGAAGCAUCUGUGAAUCGAGAUGGGCAUUUGAAUCUAGAAUGUCUGAGCUGGGUGGGGCCCUAAAACCUGGAUAUCCCAGGUGGGUGUUCAGGACACCCUAUACCACAGAAAGUGGGGGAUGGUCAAAGCUUAUAAAGACAUCAGAGCUGAAAGAAUAGGUAGAACAGAGCAUGUCCAAAAGUAGGGGGACUUGUGAGGGGCUUUAAAAACCAAGGCUCUAGUAGGAAAGGAUGUUUUUCCUUUUAAUGUGCUCAGUAGGUCAAUGCAUUGGAACCUACAAAUACAUUUAAAAAACAAUAACUACAAAGUAUGUUUGUGGUAAAAAUUCAACAUUAAUUUUCAUAUAAUCUAUUUCAGUGAGGUGGUGCAGCUCUGUAUUAAAACUCAGGGAUCGAAUAAACAGCCAAAAGGGAUUGGUGAAAAUGUAGUGCCUUAUUUGGCUCCAUAAAAGAAAAAAAAAAACAACGGACUAAAAAGUAAUCCAUUCAGUGCCUUGAUCUGCUCAGUGGUGAACCUUUGAAUUUAAACUCAGGUAUUAAACCAAUACAGCCAAAGAGGAAAAGGGGGGAAUGCUGUGCCUUCUAUGGCUCUAAAAUAAGGAAAACCAGGGAAAAAUCCCAAGCAGUGCCUUGUUCUGCUCAGUGGUGAUCCUUUGAAUUAAAACUCAGGUAUAACUCCAAUACAACUAAAGAGCUAAGAGGGAAAUGCAGUGCCUUCCAUGGCUCUAAAAUAAGGAAAACCAGGAAAAAUCCCAAGCAGUGCCUUGUUCUGCUCUGUGGUGAUCCUUUGAAUUAAAACUCAGGUACUAACCCAAUAUAUCCAAAGAGGAAAAAGGGGAAUGCAGUGCCUUCUCAGGCUCCAUAAACUGGAAUAAAACCGGUAAACUAUGCAGUGCCUUGACUUGCUCAGUGGUGAACCUUUGAAUUUAAACUCAGGUAUUAAACCAAUACAGCCAAAGAGGAAAAGGGGGGAAUGCUGUGCCUUCUAUGGCUCUAAAAUAAGGAAAACCAGGGAAAAAUCCCAAGCAGUGCCUUGUUCUGCUCAGUGGUGAUCCUUUGAAUUAAAACUCAGGUAUUAAUCCAAUACAGCCAACAGGAAAGGAAAAUUCAGUGCCUUCUCAGGCUCCAUAAAUUGGAAACAUACGGGUAUUAAAACUAUUUCCAUACAGUGCCUUCAUUUGCUCAGUGGUGAACCUUAAAUCUCAGGUAUUAAACCAGUACAGCCAAAGAGGAAACGGGAAUGCAAUGCCUUCUCUGGCUCCAUAAAUAGGAAACAAAACGGGUAUUAAACUAUUUCCAUGCAGUGCCUUGACUUGCUCAGUGGUGAACCUUUGAAUUAAAACUCAGGUAUAACUCCAAUACAACUAAAGAGCUAAGAGGGAAAUAAAGUGCCUUCUGUGGCUCUAAAAUAAGGACAAAUCAGGCAAAAAAUCCCAAGCAGUGCCUUGUUCUGCUCUGUGGUGAUCCUUUGAAUUCCAGCUCAGGUAUUAAAUGAAUUCAGCCAAAGAGGAAACGGGAAUGCAGUGCCUUCUCAGGCUCCAGAAAUUGGAAACAAAACGGGUAUUAAACUAUUUCCAUGCAGCGCCUUGAUUGGUGCAGUGGUGCAGCUCUGUAUUCAAACUCAGGGACUGAACCAAUACGGCCAAAGGGGAUUGGUGAAAAUGAAGUGCCUUAUUUUGUUCCACAAAAAGAAAAAACACGGGCAAAAAAGUAAUUGCAGAAGUGCCUUGAUCUGGUCCUGAACCACACAAAGAGGAAACGUGAACAUACUGUGCCUAAUCUGGCUCCCCCCCUAAAAAAAAAAAAAAAAAAGAAAAGAAAAAAAACCCGACAAAAAAGUUAUCCCAUGCAGUGCCUUGAAGGGUAAGACAGCUGUCGAUAUUCCUAUUAUUCUUAAUGAAUGGGGAGUAUUUAUUGAAAAAAAAGGUAAGUUCACAGGAUUUAAGUGGGACAAUAUUGGGGAUUUUAAAUAAUUUUAUUUUUAAGACUUGUAUUUAAAGUAAUAGAACUAAACCGAUAAGUGAUAAGGGGAAAAACUCACCCUUGACUAUCCAAAAAAAAAAGGAGGAGCCUUAGAACCCCAAAUGGCAGGGCUGGGAAGGUCUUUAGAACGUGGAAUGUCUGGCCUCUCAAGAGAACCUAUUGGCAGUUGGGUAGAGCUUAGAAUAGAACAUUUCAUCACUGGGGUAGUAGACUUGACUCUGAACGUUGGAGGUCUAAAUAGAUGUCCAAAUAUCUACUCUGGGAAGGCGCCAAGACUAUCUCAGCUUGGAGGCCUGACCUGGAAGGGGCCUCCAGGGGCCAGGAAUAGGAAGGAGGGAGGGAGGUUAGAACCCCGAUCUGAGAUGGUGGAUUGUCAGGCCCGGGAGUAACCAGAGGGAAGAGAAUGUGAGAACAGGCAGAGUUCUCAGGGCUCUUAGAGCCAAGAGAGGCUUCCCACCACCCAGUCACCAAGUGGAGUGAGUGUGCAAGCUGAGAGGGAGGGCUCAUAGAGUACAGACUAGCAGAAUGUAAAUCCUGGGGAAGGAGUUUGGUCGCUGUCUCAGGGGCCCAGGAUGUUGGGAGUCACAGGUAAAUGUAAAAGGCAACAGCAGGUGCUCUUUAUGGAACGAGAUGCACAUUGAUUUCAGUGGGGACACGGAAAUAAGAGUCAGGUCCCGGUGCACAGAUUCAGAGAGGAAAGGGGACAAUCCAAUGCCUUUAACAGCCCUUUCCCCCACUCCCACCCCCACCAAACAGCCCUGAAAAAAAUAAUUCUAUGCACUGCCUUGAUCUGGUUAGGCUGCUAUCAGCAUUCCCAUUGCCAGUGAAUGGAGAGUAUUUAUUGGAAAAAAAAUAAGGUAAGUAUGCAAGAUUUAAAAGCCACAUCAUUUGGGAUCUUAAAUUAUUGUAUUGUUAAGUUUCAUUUGUAACUUAACAAAUAAGUUAGAAGUAAAAAUAGCCCAUAGUAUUGGGGCGGGGGGAGGGUGAGAACAUAGAAUGGCUGGCAAUGUGCCUUUGCAGAGGCUAAAUCCCAGGCUGAAGAUUGCUUGGAAUAGAGAAGUCUAAAAGUGGAGUGGCACUCCAUUCUCUGAGUGUCAAAACAGGGAGUUCAUAGGAAAGCCAGAACAUCAGGCCUGGGAGAGAAUAUGUAGAACAGAAUGAAUGAGCUCGCAGGGAACUUAGAAUCAAGAAAGCCCAAGCUGGAUGGGAACUUGGAACCUAGAACAUCAAGCAUGAGAGGGAUCCUAAAACCCACCAGGUGAGAGAGGAUUGACAUGUGAGAAUAAGGCGGGCUGAUUCAGAGGAAAGGCAGCACACAGGAUGUCAGGUUUGGGAGGAGCAGCAGAGAAGGGGGUGUCAGAGCCAGCAGGACACAUGGAAUGAGUCCCUCAGAAAAGAAUGUCAGAACUAGGAGUAGCAUUGACACCACAUAAGAUCAGGGCUUGGAGGGCUCUUAGAACACAGAUUGGCAAAUUUGCAGUGGUCCUGAGUACACACACUAACUUCCCGGGGAAGGAGUUUUGUUGACACACUCAGGGUCUUAAGCUACAGAGUAGGGCAGGUAAAGUAAAACAAUAAAAAAGUAUAUGUUUCAAUAUAAUUUAUAUCAGCACCGAGAUGAUGCUCCAAAUGAAAAUUCUGAUCCUCAAUCACAUUGUCAAAAGGAAAAGGGGAAAGGACAUUCACUGCCUUAUCUUACUUAGGAAAAAACAUUGAAAAAGCCUUGAGAGAAAUAGUAAUUCUUGUGUUCUGCCUUAAUCCGGUAUGCCUACUAUUGCUAUUCCUGUCAUUGGCAAUGAAUGGGGAGUGUUUAUUGAAACAAGCUGGUAAGUGCAUAGGACUUAAGGCACAACAUUUUCUCCUUUAAAUUAGUAUAUUGACAAGACUCAUAUGCAAUAUCAUAAAAUAAAAAUAAGUAGAUAAUAGAAAAGGAAAAAAAAAAACAUCCUGAAAUAUCAUAGCCAGUUGUGGCCAUAGAACAUAGAAUUCCAGACCUGGGAGGGAAGAGCUUUAGAACAGAGUAUUUGGGUUUAUGAGGCCAGAGAGCUUAGAAUGGAGAAUUUCAGAGCUAAGAGGGCAGUCAGGACUCAGGAUGAUAGGCCUGGGAGUGGACAGUAUCAGACCUGGCAGGGUACUUAAAACACAGAAUUUCAGAACGUGGAGGAGAUAUAGAAGCAAGAAUGGCUAAACCAGAGGAGGCCCUGGAACCUGGCAUAUCCAAACUGGGCAGGCCCUUAGGCCAAAGAUGUCAAAUAUUGGACAUUGCCCACAAAACUCCCCAGUGCCUUCCUAACCAGAUUAAAAUGGAAUUAGGAAAUACUUAACAAAAUCAGUAAAACUAUAGUAAAGCUUAGAUAACAUUGUAUUUUAAAGUGCAGUCAAUAUGUGACCCUUAGGGAUCCUUAUAUAUGGCUUAGUGGCUUUCAUUUCUGUUGAGUUUGGCACCACUGCCUUAGACCACAGAAAGCGGGAGAUGGUCAGAGUCUGCGAACACAAAUUGUUCAAAUCAUUAGGAUCUUAGCAAAUCCAAUGCCAGAACUGAGAAUAGUUACAGUCACGAAUGUCAGAGCUGGGAGGGCUCUCAGAACAAGCAAAUCUUAGAACCAGUAGGGCUGUUCUCAUAUAGAAUGUCAGCACUAGGCAUUUCCUUAAAAUUACAGAAUCCCCCAGUGGGCAGAGCUCAUAGAAAACAGAUUUUAUGGCAUGAAAAGGGCCUUAGGACACAUAAUGUCAUAUAUGGGAAGGAGGGUUGUUGUUGGUUUUUUUUUUUAAUUUACCCUAUGCUAUAGGUAUUGGGAGGGAUAGGUAAAUUUACUUUAAAAAAUACGAAGUAUAUUUAUGGUAAGAGAUGCAACAUAUAUUUCAAUAUCAUUUCUAUAAGCACAAUUGUGAUACUCUGAAUUAAAACUCAGGUCCUGAACCACACAGCCAAAGAAGAAAGGUGAACAUACAGUGCCUAAUCUGGCUCAAAAAAAAAAAAAAAGAAAAGAAAAAAAAAAUGAAAAAAAAAAGUAAUUACAUGCAUUGCCAUGAUGGGGUAAGACUGCUGUUGAGAUUGAUAUAAUUGUUAAAAAUGUGGAAUAUUUAUUGAAAAAAAUAAGGUAAGUACACAGGAUUUUAAAGAAACCAUUUGAGAUUUUAAAUAAUUGUAUUGCUAAGCCAAUAUAAUAAAUAAGCUAAUAUAAUAAAAUUGAAUAAGUUAAGUGAUAAGAAUAGAACCCCUAGGCUAUCAGAGGAGGGAGGGCCCUUAAAAAGUGAAUCAGGGAAGGAAGGUCUUCAGAAACCAGAACAGCGAGCUAAGUCUGGAGUUGCCUUUCAGGAUGAGAUACUGGGUAGAGCUUAGAGCCUGUCAGCCCUGGGAAGGCCUUAGUCUGGGCUCUGAACAUCAGAACUGGGUGUUGACAUAGAAAACAGGAUGUCAGGCCUAGGAGGGGAUGCAGAGCAUGGACUGUCUAAGCGUGGAGGCAGUUUAGAAUCAGACAUGCUUGAGCUGGAUGGGGCUGGAUGGCAUUUCAGACGUGGAAGGGAGCCUCAGAUACAGAAAGUGGGAGGUUCCUGGAGCCAGAGAACACAUAUUGUAAGAGUCAUCAUUUAGGGAAGUGCAGUGAUGAUGUUUGGAAUGAAAACUCCUCCUUAACACCCAGCCAGAAAGGAAAGGGGAAAUAGAGUAUUUCAUCUGGUUUAAAACAAAUUAACUCCAUGAACUGUCUUGUUCCGGUAGGACUGCUAUUGACAUUUGUUUUAUUGGUAAUGAAUGGGGAGUAUUUUUGAAACAAAUAAGGUAGGUGUUAAGUAUAGAGUAUGUAAGAGGGAUCCCAUUUUUGCUUUUAAAUCAUUGUAUUGAUAAGAGACAUUCAAUGUUAUCAAAUAAAAGGAAAUGAAAGUGAGAAGAAACAAACAAGAGACCCUGUCUCUCAUACUAGGGCAUGACCUUAUAGCAUAGAAUUGUAUCCAGAGCUUUGAGGGCCCCUAGAACAUACAGUAUCUGGACUAGAAUAUGCCUCUCAAGAUAAACUAUAGGAACUGCUAGAGAGCUUUCUGAAAGCAGUCAGAGAUCUGAAUGACAGAAAUUGAAGAGAGGUCACUUAGUCCAUAUAAUGGCUCAGCUGGAAGGAAGUUUAGAAGCCAACAGUGCCUGAACUUGAUGGGGCCCUGGAGCCUGGAAUAGCAGAGUUUGGAGAGACCUGAGAUCACAGACAGUGGGAGAUAAUCUGACCCUGAGAACACAAAUUGUGCAAGUCAGUGGGAGGUUAGUCAAGAAAAUAGCCGGCCUGGGGGAAGCCUUAGAGAAGAGAUUGGUUGAGUUGCUAAGGGUCUUAGCAUCAAAACCGGGAAGGAAUUUGCUUCUUUAAAUUUAGGUGCUCAGUGGGCAAAGUGUUCGGAGUGAAAGGUAAAUUAUAGAAAACAAUAAAUAGCCAAGUAGCUUUACAGAAUUAAAUAUAACAUAUAUUGUAAAUAUCAGCACGAUGGUGAUGCUGGAAAUUCUAACUCAAGUCCUGAACCCUACAGACAAAGAGCUAAGGUGAAUACACCGUGCCUGAUCAGGCUUAAAAACAAAACCAAAAAAACUGAGGUGAAAAAAACAACCAAAAAAUAAUUCCAUCCAAUGAUUUGAUGGGGUAAAACUGCUGUUGAUAUUACUAUCAUUGUUAAUGAAUGGGGACUAUUUAUUGAAAAAAACCCAAAAAACCACACAAAACACUAAGGUAAGUACAUAGGCUUCAAAAAAGGACACCAUUUGUGAUUUUAAAUUAUUAUUUUGCUAAGACAUAUGUAAGAUAAUGUAAUAAAACUGAAUAAACAAAAGAAAAGAAAAAAAACUCCUAGAUUAUGAGAGGAAGGAGUAGCCUGAGAACAUAAAAUACUCAUAGAAUGUUUAGUCUUGGUGGUACCCUUCAAGAACAGAUAUUGGAGGUUGGCUAGAUUUAGAAUUGAGGAUUUCAGCACUGAGAUAGCAGAUCCAGCCAUGACUAUCAGAACUAGGACACAGAAACCAGAAUAUGAGACUCAGGAGGCCAUGCAGAACAUAUCUGAGCUCAUAGGAAAUCUAGAAUCAAGAAUCCCAGAGCUGAAUAGGAGCCCUAGAACCUGGAACACCAGAGGUAGAAGGGACCUUGGAAGACAAAAUGGCAGUUGGAUUGACCCCGAGAACAGAAAUUGUUUGAGUCAGAAGGAUCUUAGUACACAAUAGAAAACCUGAGACUAACCCUAGAGAAUGGGGAGGCACAUAGGGGAUUACCAGAGUGAAGCAAGCUAUAAUUUAUAUCAGCACAAUGGAGAUACUCGAAAUUAAAAUGCAGGACUUCAGACCCAGCCAGUGAGGAAAAGUUAACAUACAGUCUCCAAAAUAAAACAAUGAAAAAGAAAAAAAUAACUGACCAAAAACAGUAAUUUUAUGCAGUAUUUUGAAAGGGUGAGGCUGCUAAAGAUAAAACUAUUAUUUUUUAAUGAACAGGGAGUAUUUAUUGGGAAAAAGUUAACAAUUCAAAAAAGGGAUACAUUUUUUCAAUUUUAAAUCAUUGUGCUGAGACCGAGAUGUGAUUUAAUAUAAUAAAAGGGCAAAGACAGAGAGAGGAGGGAGGGGAGUUUGAACAUAAAAUGACAGGGCUGGGAAGAUCUUUACAAAAUAGAAUGUCUGACUCGGAGGUUGGCUAGAGCUAAGAAUAGAGACUUUCUGCCCUCGGAAGGCACUUUGGGCUCUGAAUGUCAAAACUGGAAAUUGACAGACACCAGAAUAUCAGAUUUGUGAGGACAUAGAGAAAAUAAAAUACUUGAAUUUGGAGGCAAUUUAGAAUCAAGAGCCACCUGACCUAGAAUAUCAAGGGUGGAAGGGACCUUAACACAGAAAGUAACAGCUCAGGGCUUAAGAACACCCUUAAUUCAAUUCAGUGGGAUCUAAAAAUGUAGAAAGCCACACCUGGGAAAGCAUAGAGAAGAGAAUAUCCUGGCCCUCAGGGAAGAUGAAACCAGGGAUAUCAGCGCCAGGGAAACAUACAAAACAUAGAUACAAAACCAGGGAGUGGUGUCAGAGCUGGGAGGUGCUGAGAACACACUGCCACUGCUGGGAAAUAGUUUGUUUUAUGAGCUCCUAGGGAGGUACAAGUGCAUAUUUUUUAUUAUAUUUAGGGUGCAAGAUGCAACAUAUGUUUCAUGAUGAUGCUCUGAAUUAGAAUUCACAUACUGAAUCACAAAACCAAAGUGGAAAGGUGACCAUAUGGUGCCUAAUCUGACUCCAAAAGAAAACAAAGAAAAGAAAAAAAAAUAACUGACAAAAAAGUAAUUUGCAUGCAGUAUCUUGAAGGCUAAAAGUGUCUAUAAAUAUUACUGUUAUUGUUAAUGAAAGGGCUGUAUUUAUUGAGAAAAAUAAGGUAAGUACACAAUAUUGAAAAGGGAAACAAUUGUGAUUUUAAAGAAUUAUAUUGCUAAGAUAACAUAGAAUACAAUAAAUUGGAUAAAUAAGUGAAAAAGAAAAAAAGACCCUAGAAUAUCUGAGGAGGGAGGGUCUUUGAAAAUAAAAUAACAGGGAAAGUUUAUAGAAUACAAUUUUUUACUUGGAGGUAUACAUUGGAGGUAUACAAGAACAUACAUUGGAGGUUAGAAAGAACUUAAAACAGAGAAUUUCACUGUGGGACAGUCUAGGCUUCAAAAGUUAAAGCAUGGAAGACAGAAUAUCAGACCUUAAAAAAUACGUUAAACUUGGAGGCAAGUUAGCAUCAAGAGUCCCUGAGAUGGUCAGAGCCCAUAAAUUCGUAAGAUGUGAGGGACACAGAAUGUAGGGCCUAGGAGAAACCACAGAGAAGAGAGUGUUAGAACUGGAAACCAUUUAGAACAAGGGAUACCUUUCUAGGAAAAUCCCUAGAACAUAAAUUUCUGAACUAGUUUUGGCCAUGUCAGCUAUUCAGCUGAGAGGACUCUUAGAACAAAAAUUAGUAGACUUGGGAUGAUCCUGAGCACACCUGAUAUCAUCGUUGGCAAAGAGUUUUACUUGUUGCUCAGGGUUCCAGACUAUGAGGAGGGAGAGGUAAAUGUCAAAAACAAUGACUUAAGGAUAUUUUUUACUAUGAGAUGUAACAUGUUUCAAUAUAAUUUAUUAAAGAAUAAUGAUGAUGCUCUGAAUUAAAACUGUUUUUCAAACACAACCAAAUUGGAUAGUUUAAAAUGUAUUGUUGUAGCUGACUCAAAAUAAAGCAAACCUGUCAAACAAAUUCCAUGCCAAAAAAUAUUCUACAAUUUAUAACUCUUUAAUUGGUAGUGAAUGAGGAUUUUUAUUGAAACAAACUGUUUCAAUAAAAACCCACUUUGAAAAAUGGGACACCAUUUGUGACUUUAAAUUAUCGUAUUGCUAAGACAUAUGUAAUUUCCUAUAAUAAAACAAUAAAUAAGUGAAAAGAAAAAAAAACAACUCUCUGAGGAUUCUUUGAACAUAAAAUGACAACUGGGAGAGUCUUUAGAACAUAAACUAUCUUUAGAACGUAAAGUACAUUUCGAGAGAAUAAUUAGAAUACAAAAUUUCAGAUCUAGGAGGGCAGGUAGGACAUAGAAUGUCUGGAUUUGCUGGAAAUUUAACAUCAAACAUAGUAAAAGUGGAAGAAACCCUAGAACACAGAAACUAAGAUGUGCAGAGCUUGUCCCAAUGCCAUGGGGUGUGAGCACAUGGAAUGUCAGUCUUGGGAGAAGCCAAAGGAAAAGGGAUAUGAGAGCUGGCAGAGAACUUAGAGGAGGAAAUCAAAGAGGUAGGGCUAUUGUGAAGAUCAAAUAAGAUAAUAUUUGUAAAGCACUUUUUUUUUUAGCACGGUACCUAGCACAUAGUAGGCACUAUAUAAAUCUUAGAUGAGCUACUAGGAAAGCAUUUAGAACAUACAGUGUCAAGAUUAGAAGUUUCUUUACAACUUGAAUGUCAGAGCUGAGAAGGUCCUGAGAACACACACUAUCAUUGCUGGGAAUUGGUCUUCUCAAUGUGGUUAGAGGUCUAAGUCAUGGAGAGGGGCAGGAAAAUUUAAAUAACAAUAAUAUAUUUAUGCUAUAUGGUACAAUAUAUAUUUCAAUAUAAUUUAAUAUCAACAGAAUGUUAAUACCCUCAACUAAAACUCAUGUCCUGCAACUCAGAGUAAAGGUGACUGUACAAUGCCUAAUCUUGCUCCAAUUUUUAAAAUAAUGAAAUAAAUUGAACCACAGUAAUUGUAUGUAGUAUCUUCAAGGGUUAAGGCUACAGAUCACUAUUACUGUUAAUGGUCAGAAUUUACUAUAAGUACCAGCCCUGAAUGACAAAACUGGGAGUUAACAAGGAAGCCAGAAUAUAAGAACCCAGGAUAUGUAGAACAUAGAAUGUCAUUAAAUUAAUGAACUUGGGGGAAAUUUAGAAGCAAUAGAUUCUAAACUAGAUGGGACCAUGGUACCUGGAAUGUCAGAGGUGAGAGGACCAUAGAUCAUAGAAAGUGAUAGGAUGUCAGAGCUAGAGAAUAGAAAUCGUCUGAUUCCAUGGGAUGUGAGCACAGAGAACGUCAUAUCUGGGAGAAGUCAGAGAGAAGAGAGUGUCAGAGCAGGCAGGAAACUUAGAAAAGAGAAUAUCAGAUCCAGGAAAGCUCUUAGAACAGAGAUUAUCAGAGCUUAGAUGGGCCUGAAAACACACAGUAUCAUUGCUUAGAGUUCCCAUUUAUGGGGAGGGACAGGUAAAAUUGAAAAGGUCAGGAGAGUCUUUGGAACAUACAUUGUCUGAUUUGGAUACACAUUGUAAGAGAAUGUAUCGGAGACUGAACAGAGAUUAGAAUGGAGAAUUUCAACACUGGGAUGGCAAGCCAGGCUCAGAAGCCAGAGUAUCACCUGAGAAAGUCUGUAGAACAUAGAAUGACUGAGCUUAGAGGCAAUUUAGUAUCGUGUGUGAACUGAAUGGGGGCCCUCCUAUUCAUAAUGUCAGAGGAGUAAGGGACUUAAAAAUACAAUGUGGAAGAUAGAGCCAGAAAAUAGGUUGUCUUAUUCAGUACAAUCUGAGCACACAGUAGAUUAGGCUCAGGAAAAUUCAGAGAGAAGGGAAUGUCAGAGCUAGGAAGGCCUCUAGAAAGACAGGCUAUCAGAGUUCCAAAAGCUUUUAGAAUAUAACAGUUUCAUGACUCGCUUUGGCCAAAAAAGCACAUGCUGUCAGAGCUGGGUGGCUCUUAGAACAUAGAUUAUGAGAGCUCUAAUGAUCAGCCAUAGAACACAAUAUCAUUGCUGGGAAGGAAUCUUGUCCAAGUUAUGGGGAAGAGAAGGUAAACUUAAAAAAUAUAUUUGAAAAUAUGCUUAUGGUAUAAAAUGCAACACAUUUCCGUGUGAUACCUAUAAGCACAAUGGCGAUCCUCUGAAUUAAAACUCAAGUCCUGAAUCAGAUGGCCAAAACAGAAAUUUUAAUAUAAAGUACCUAACCUGGAUUAAAAGGAAAACAAUGAAAUGAAAAACAAAAUAACUGACAAAAAAGUAAAGGCAUGCAGUGUGUUAAAGGCAAUAAGGCUGCUGUAAAAAUUACAAUUAUUGAUAAUGAAUGGGCCAAAUUUAUUGAAAAGAAAAAAAAAGGUAAGUACACAGGAUUCACAAGGGAAACAAUCUGUGAUCUUAAAUAACUGUAUGACUAAUCCACAUAUAUCAUUUAAUAUACUAAAAUUGAUAAAGUGAAAAGGAAAGAAAUUGCAGAAUAUCAGAGAACAGAAAGGCUUUUGAACAAAAUAACUAAGAGGGGAAGGACUUUAGAAACUACAAUAUCUGACUUGGAAGUGCUUUCCAAGAGAACACUGAAUACUGGAUAGAGCUUAGAAUGGAGAAUUUCAGGGCUGGGAUGGUAGUCCAGGGAGUCCCACAUAGAAGCCAGAAUAUGAGACUUGAGAAGGGAUGCUCAAAGUAGAAUGUCUGAGCAUGGAGACAAUUUAGAAACAAUGGGGCCUCAACUAGAUGGGGCCAUCCGACCUAGAAUAUCAAACUCAGGAGUGACUUCAGAACUCAAAGUAAGAGUUGGCCAGAGCCACAGAAGUGAAAUUGUCUGAUACCCUGAGAUGUGAGCACACAGUAUGUCUGUUAGACCUGGGAGAAGUCAGAAUAAAGAGACUGUCAAAGCUGGCCAGGCAGAUAGAAGAAAGGAUAUCAAAGCUCAAAAAGUCCCUACAGCCUAAAAUCUCAGGACUAGCUUUGGCCACAAAACCUCACAAUGUCAGGGCUGGGAGGACUCUAAGGACGUGGAUUGUCAGAGUUCAGAUGGGCCCAAGUGAUAUACAAUAAGUUUUGUUUCUGUGCUCAGAGGUUCAACUUCUGGGGAAGGACAGGUAAAUGUAGGCAGCAUUGAUAAAAGAGGCUUAAAAAAAUGAGCUAAAACAGAUAACAAUUAUUUAUAUCAGCAAAAGUUGAUCUUAUGGGGCAUCUAGGUGGCACAGUGGAUAAAGCACCGGCCCUGGAUUCAGGAGGACCUGAGUUCAAAUCCGGCCUCAGACCCUUGACACUUACUAGCUGUGUGACCCUGGGCAAGUCACUUAACCCUCAUUGCCCCACCCAAAAAAAAGUCUAUCUUCUGAAUUAUAACUUAUACUCUAGUUCACAGAACCAAAGAGGAAGGGUUAGCAUGCUGUGCCAAACCUGGUUCCAGUUUUGUUUUUUUUUUUUGAAAGACAAAGGUAAUUGUAUGUAAUAGCUUGAAGAAUUAAGGCUACUUUAGAUAUCACUAUUAUUGUUAAUGAAUGAUAAGUAUUCAUUGAAAAAAUAAAGCAAUUCAAAAGAAAAAAUGUGCUCUCAAAUAAUUGUAUUGCUAAUAUAUGUACAUAUAAAUAUAUGAUUUAAUAGAGUAAAACUGAAUAAGUGAAAAGGUUGGAGAAGAGGUAGGAAGUGACAACAAUACAAUGACAGGCUUGCUAUGGUUCUUAGAGAAUGGUGUCUGACUUGGAGAUGUGUUAUAAGAGAAUAUUUUGGAGACUGUAUGGAGCUUAGAAUGGACAGUAUCAGUGCUUAGUUGACAAUCCAGACUUGAAUAUCAGAAGUGAACCCUAUGUGGCAUAGAAGCCAGAAUAUGAGAAUUGAGAGGUUGUGUCCAACGUACAAUCUCUGAAUUUGGAGGCAAUUUAGAACCAGUGAGAGGAGAGGAGCUAGAUGGGGCAUUCUAAAUUAGACUUUCAAAUUUGGGAGUCCAUGCUUUCAAUCAAAAAAAGUGAGAUGGUCAGAGCCAAAGAACUGAAAUUGCUUGAUUCACUAGGAUCUGAGCAUGCAGAACAUCAGGCUUGUGAGAAUCCAUGAAGAAGAGAAUGACAGGACUGGGAAGACACCUAGAACAAGUGAUAGAAUGUCAGGACUAGGAGUGGCCUUCAAACCUCAGUGUCAGUGCUGGGAAAAUUCUUUAAACAGAUGGCCUGAGAACAUACAAUACAAUUUCAGAGAAGGAGUUUUGUUUCUUUGAUCAGAGUUCCAACUUAAUGAGGAGGGUCAAGUUAAAAAAAACCUUAAGUAUAUUUAGUGUAAGAGAUGUAUCAUAUAUUUCAGUAUCAUAUCAGCAUAAUGGAGAGUUUCAGGACUGAGGUGCUAGUCCAGGCUCUGAAUAUCGUAAUUGGGAUUUGACAUAGAAGCCAAAAUAUGAAACUUGAAGGAAUAUGUCCAACAUAAAAUGUCUAAGCUGGAGGAAAUUUCAAAUCAGUGGGGCCCUCCAAGCUAGAAUAUCAAACUUGGGAAGAACUUUAGAACACAGAAAGUAAGAGGUAGUCAUAGCCAGAGAACAGAAAUUGUCUCCAUGGGAUAUGAGCAUAGAGUAUGACAAGCCUAGGAGAAACAAUAGAUAAGAAAAGAUCAGCUGGGAAGUCAUGUAGGUCAAGUGAUAACAGCCAGCAAAGUCUGCAGAACAUAGAAUUUCAAAACAGGCUUGGGCCACAACACCACUAAAACAAAAAGUAGGUGAAAAAGAAAAAAAAAAACAUAUCCUAGAAUAUUGGGAGGGAGGGAACUUUGGAGAUCAAAUGACAGAACAGGGCCAAUCUUUAGAAAAUAGAGUGUCUGCCUUCUCAAGAAAACAUCUUGAGGUUUGAUAGAAUUUCAGGGCUUGGAUAACAGAAUGGGCUCUGGGCAUCAGAACAGAGAGUGGACCCAGAAGCCAGAAUAUCAGACCUAGGAGAGACUAGAACAUUCAGCAGCAUCACCAGGAAGAGGCCUUAAAACCUCAGUAUGUGAGCAGGGAGAAUUCUUAGAACAUAUAAUAGAACUCAGAUGGCCUCAAGAGCCCUCAAUGUCAUUCAUUGCUGAGGCGUUUUAUUUCUGUGCUCAGAGUUCCUAUUUCUGAGGAGGAACUGUUAGAUUUAUCUCUAGAUGCAACAUGUUUUGAUAUCAUUUAUAUAAGCACCAUGCUGAUGCGGUGAUUUUAAAGUCUAGUCCUGAGACACAGCCAGUAAGGAAAGGUAAAAAUAAAUUACCUUCAAUGGCUGAAAAUCUGAAAAAGUAAAAAUAUCCUGAGGGGGAAAGAAACUCAUUUCAUUCACUACCUUAGGGAAUGCUUGUUGAAAACAAGAUUUUCAAUUACCCAGUCUUAAAAGGUUCAAUAUUUGUGAAUUUAAAUCAUUGUAUUUCUAAGACAACAAUGUAACAAUGUAAUGCAGCUGAAUAAGAAAGGGGAAGAAAAUCCUUGAAUAUCACCAGGUUCAGGGGUCUUUGAACACAUAAUGACAAAUCCAGGGGAGUUUUUAGAACAUAGAUGGUCAGACUUAGAGAUGCAUUUCAAGAAAAUUUCAGAGGGUAGAUAGAUAUUAGAACUGUAAGGAUUUGUACAGUGGGUUUGAUACUACAGGCUCAGAAUGUUAGCAAUGAAAUGGGUUUUCAUAUAGCCAGAAUAUCAGACUUCCAUGAGCAUGGUGAACAGACAGUGUGUGCUUGGAUGCAGUUUGGGAUGCCGACUGCCUGAGCCAGAUGGGGCCUUGCUCUCCAUAAUACCAAAGGGGGAAGGCACCCUCAAAGACCAAAUGUGGCUGUUGUUCAGAGCCUGAGAACAGGAACUGCCUGACUGAGUGAGAUGUGAGUGAGCAGAAUGCAAGCCAGCUAGAAGAGAAGCCUACACAUUUUUAGGACUGGCUUGAGCCAGCAAAUUAGUGUCAGAGCUGGGAGGGCUGUUGGAAUAGAAAUUAAAGCCGAUAUGGGCCUGAAAACAUGCAGUAUCAUUGCUGGAAACUAGUUUUGUUUCUGUCUUUGGUUACAACUCUUGGGCAAUAGCAGGGAAAUGUCAACAAUAAAUAGUAUGUUUAGGGCAUGAAGUGCAACAUAUAUUUCAGUAUAAUUUGUGUUUAGCACAACAGUGACUCUGAAUUAACUCUCAUAUCCUGCCUCACAGAAAGUGAAUAUGUAAGUGCCUAAUCUGGUUCCAAAGGAAAAAAAGAGUUAAGGAAGGGGGAAAAAAUAACUGACAAUAUAGUAAUUACUGCAGUGAUUUUUAGUGUUCAGGGUGCUGUAGAUAUCACUGCUAUUAAUGAAUAGUCAGUAGACACUGAAAAAAUAAAGAACGUAGGAUUUAAAAGAAAAACAAUUUAUGCUCUUAAAUGACUUGAAUUUAUUAUAGCUAAACAGAAGAAAUCCAUGGAAAAUAAAACUGACCUUAAAAUGACAGGGCUUUGAGAAUCUUUAGGAACUGUAGUAUCUGACUUGGUGCUACCAAGAGAACAUAUUGAAGGAUGGAAAGAGCUUAGAAUGAAGAAUUUCGGCUGGGAUGGUGCAGUCCAGGUUCCGGAUAGCAGACCAGGGACUUGGGAUAGUACCUAGAAUAUGAGACUUCAGAAGGUAUGUCCAGCAUAGAAUGUGUAGGCUUGGAAAUAACUUAGAAGAAAUGGAGCCAGAGCUAGAUGAGACCCUCCAGCCUAGAACAUCAAAUUUGGGAGGGAUCUAGAUCACAGAAAGUGAGAGAUAGUUGGAGCCACAGAACUGAAAUUGUCUAAUUCCAUGGGAUCUGAGCACCCAGAAUGUAGGGCCUGGGAGAAGCCAUAGAGAAGAGAAUGACAGCACUAUCAAGGCAGGUAGAAGAAGUGAUGGCUGAGCUAGUAAAGCCUGUAGAAGAUAGUAUCUCAGGACUGGUUGUGCCCAUAACGUCACAUGGCAUCAGUUAUAUAUAUAUGUAGUAUAACAUGCAACAUAUGUUUCAAUAUAAUUUUUUUAUCAGUACUAUGCUGAUGCCCUGAUUUAAAAGUCAGGUCCCAAAACACAGCCAGUGAGGAAAGGUAUAUUACCUUAGCUGGAUGCUAAUAGGAAAAAAUAUUCUAGGGGACAAAAAAUUCCAUGCACUUCCUUACUCUUAAAACUGUUACAGAUAUUUCUAUUAUUCAUAAUGAAUGGGGAGUGUUUUCUUUCAAACAAAUGAAACCAUAAGUACCUAAUUUUAAUAGGGGCACCAUUUAUGGUUUUAAAUGCUAACACGAUUGCUAGCAUGUAUAUAUGCUAGCAUAUAUUAUAUAUAUGCAAUUUAAGAUAAUAAAACUGAAUAAGUGAAAAGGAAAAAAAAGCCUUGAAUAUGAAUGGAGUGACAGGAUUUUAAAAUUAAGAAAAGGCAGCUGGAACAUUCUUUAGAAGAUAUAUUUUACAGGGGCAGGGGAAGAUAUAUUUUACUGGCGCUGGAUUCAGGAGGACCUGAGUUCAAAUCCGGCCUCAGACACUUGACACUAGCUAUGUGACCCUGGGCAAGUCACUUAACCCUCAUUGCCCUGCAAAAAAAUAAAAUAAAAAGAAGAUAUAUUUUAUUUGGUGAUGCAUUUCAAGAGAAUAUAUUAGAGCCUGGAGCUUAGAAUGGAGAAUUUUUGAAUGGUGAUGGCAGUCCAAACUUAAGAUGUUGGAAAUAUUUACAAAUAGGAGCCUGAAUAUCUGACUUCAGAAGGGGCAUGAAGAACAAAUAUCAAUGUGUGAGGCACCUUAAAAACACAGAACAUGGGAGGUGUUCUGAGCCUGAGAACAGCAACUCUCUUGAGUGAGAUGUGAGUGGGCAGAAUACAGUCCUGGGAGAAGGCAGGAAGAAGAGAAAGAUAGAGAACUCAAGGAAGGAAGGUGGAAAAGAACCAGCAGAGCCCUUAAAUACAUGCUUUUAGGACUCAUUUGGGCCAGUAAAGCACACAGUGUCAGAGUUGGGAGGGUUCUUGGAACUUGGAUUAUCUGAGUUUAGAUGGCCCUGAAAACAUGCAAUAUCAUUGCUAGGAAGGAGUUUUGUUUCUGAGCUCAGGGUUGCAAAGUUAUGGGGACUGACCAGUAAAUGUGUACAUUUUUUUUUUGGUGGGGAUAUGGGGGUUAAGUGACUUCUUGGCCUGGGUCACACAGCUAGUAAGUGUCAAGCGUCUGAGGCCGGAUUUGAACUCAGGUCCUCCUGAAUCCAGGGCUAGUGCUUUGUCCACUACGCCACCUAGCUGCCCCAAUGUGUACAAUUUUUAAAAGUUUCUUUAGCGUAUGAGAAGCAACCUAUGUUACAUUAUAAUAUAUAUUGGCAUAAUGGUGAUUCUCAUAGUUAAAACAUGUCCUAUAUCACUGAGUCAGAGACUGAAAAGGUUAACAUAUAGGGCCUAUUGGUAUUUCUUUUAAUACUAAUUAAAACCAAAAAAAAGAAAACUGAAAACCACAAUUUCAUGCAGUGUCUUACAGGGUUAAGACUGCUGUAGAUAUCACAAUUGUUGUUAAUGAAUAGUCAGUAUUUAUUGAAAAAAAUAAAGGCAGUACACAGAAUUCAAACGAAAAAUCAAUUUAUGCUCUCAAAUGACUUGCAAACACAUUUAUCUAAUAUACUAAAACAAGAAAUAAGUGAAAAGGAAAAAAAAGAAACCAACAACCUUAGAAUCAGAGGAGGGAGGAGAUUUUGCCCUGCCUGAGAGGGAGCAUAGAUAAUAGUGUCUGACCCUUUGGAGAGAAUAUAUUGGAGGUUGGAGAGAGCUCAGAAUAGAGACUCCCAGUGCUGGGCAGCAGUCCCUGCUGUAAGUAUGAAAAGUAGGAGUUGACAUGAAAACCGGAAUAUCAGACCUGGGAGAGAAUAUGGAAGGGAGAAUGAGUUUGGAGGCAUCUCAGAAUCAAGAAGGCCUGAGCUGGUUGGGGGCCUAUAAUGACAGUGGUGGGAAGGGCAUUAGAACACAGAAAGGGAGAGACCAGAAAUUGUUUAAUUCUGUGGGAUACAAGGGCCUGGGAGAAGCAAGAGAGAAGAGAAUCCUUAGAAGGCAGGACACUUAGUAAAAAAGAAUAUCAGAAUCAGGAAAGCCCUAAAUAUAUUUCAGGACUAGCUUAGGCUACAACACCACACAGUGUCAGAGGUGGGAGGGCUCUUAGAAUGACAAUGAGAGCUAGUAUGGGCUUGAGAACACACGAUUCAUUGCUAGGAAGGAGUCUUGUUUAUGUGCUCAGGGGCCCAAGUUAUGGGGGAAACAAGUUUAAAAAAAUUGUUUAAAGUAGAUUUAUGGGAUAAAAUACAACAUAUAUGGCAAUAUAAUAUCAAUAACCAACAAUGAUGAUCCUUUGAAUUAAAACUCAUGUCCUGAAUCACACAACCAAGGUAGGCAUUUUAAAUAUAUAAUGCCUAAUCUUGAUUAACAAGAAAACAUUUAAAAGGGGAGGGGAGUGACAAAAAAGUAAAAAUAUGGGGUUUUUCCAAGGGUUUCUAUUGUAAUUAAUUAAUGGGGCCUAAUUAUUGGGGGGAAAUAUGGUAAGUAUAUAGGAUUCACAAGGGAAACAAUUUGUUUUUAAAUAAAUGUAUUACUAACAUGUCUACAUAUAUAUAUAUGUCAUUUAACUUAUUAACAUUGAAUAAGUGCAAAGAGAAAAAAAUUUCUUGAAUGACACUGGAGUGAAGGGACUUUGACCAUUAGAUGACAAAGCAGGUAAAUAGAUGAGUACAUAGAUGGUCUGACUUGGAGAUGUAUCUCAAGAGAAUAUCUUGGAGGCUGGCAAGAGCUUAGAAUGGAGGAUUUCUACACUGGGCUGCCAGUUCAAUCUCAGAAAGUUAGAAAUGGGUUUUCAGAUAGAAGCCAGGAUAUCAGACUUGGGAGGGUGCACAUAAAACAUGGAAUAUCUGAGCUGGGAGACAAUGUGAGGUCCCAGGGCCUCCCACCAUAACAUCAAAGGUGUAAGACCUUACAACACAGAAGGUGGGAGAUGUUCCAAGCUUGAGAACAGGAACUAUCUGAGUGAGAUGUGAGCGGGCAGAAUGCAGGCCUAGGAGAAGGCAGGAUGAAAAGAAGGGAAGAGCUGGCAGAGAGUUCAGAGGAAGGCCGAGAAGAGCCAGCAGAGCCCUUAGCACAUAUACUUUCAGAACUGGCUUGGGCCAGUAAACCACACAGUGUUAGAGUCGAGAGGCCCCCUAGAACACUGUCAGAACUCUGAUUUUCCUGACAAUGUCUAAUAUCUUUGCUGGGAUGAGGUCUUGUUUAUGUGCUUAGGGGUUCAAGUCUUGGGGAUGGAGAAUUAUUUUUUUUAAUUAAGUAUAUUUAUGGUAUUAAAUGCAACAUAGAUAUCCAUAUCUAUCCAUAUCCUCUACGCACAGUGGUGAUCCUAUAAAUUAAAACUCAUGUCCUGAAUUAUAAAGGCAAAGUAGAACUUUGAUUAUAUUAUGCUUAAUUCAGACAAAGGAAUAGAACUGACCCAAAAAAGUAAUUGCCUUCAGGGUCUUCAAGGGGUAAGGUAUUAAGUAUACAUAAUUGUUAAUAUUAUUAUUAUUAAUGAAUGGGCCAUAUUUGCUUAUUAAAAUAUGAUAAGGACACAGGAAUCAGAAAAGAAAUAAUUUAUGAUCUUAAAUAAUUGUUAUUCCUAAUAAACAUCUGGCAUUUAACUUACUAACACUGUUCAAGUAAAAAGGAAAAAAAACCCUAGAAUUUCAGAGGAGGGAAGUACAGUUGCAAGUUUGGAAAGGUCUUUAGAAAAUACAAUGUCUGGGGCAGCUGGGUGGUGCAGUGGAUAAAGCACCAGCCCUGGAUUCAGGAGAACAUGAGUUCAAAUCCAACCUCAGACACUUGACACUUACUAGCACACAAUUGCCUCACCAAAAAAGAAAGAAAGAAAGAAAGAAAGAAAGAAAGAAAGAAAGAAAGAAAGAGAAAGAAAGAAAGAAAGAAAGAAAAUGCAACAUCUAACUUGGAGAUGCGUUUUGAGAGGAUAUAUUAGAGGAUAGAGCUUAAAACGGGGAAUUUCAUGGCUGGGACAGCAGUCCAAGCUCUGAAUAUCACAUCUGGGAGUUGGCAUAGUAUCCAGAAUAUGAGACCUGAAAAGGUAUGUCCAACAUAGAAUACCUGAGACUGGAGGCCACUUAGAACCGAUGGGGCCUGAACUGUAUGGGACCUUCUCAUUGGAAGCAUCAAACUGGGAAGGGACUUUAGAAAACAGAAAAGUAGUGAUGUUCAUAGCCUGAAAACAGAAACGGUCUGAUUCCAAGGGAUAUGCACACACAUAAUUUCAGGCCUGGCAGAAGCCAGAGAGAAGAGGAUGCCAGGGCAUUGAGAAGAAGGCAUAUCAGAGGUAGGAAAGGUCUUAGAAACUGCAGUCUCAGGAUUAGCUUUGGCCAGAGAAGUGCACGGUGUCAGAGUUGGGAGGGCUCAUAGAACAUGGAUUAUCAGAGCUUGGAUGGUCCUGAGAUCGCACAAUAUCAAGUUCUGGACAGGAGUCUGGUUUCUGUGCUUAGAGAUCUAAUUUGGGGGAGUGAGAUUUAAAUGUUAAAAACAGUAUAAAAAUGUAUUUAGGCUAUAACAUAUAAUAUAUGCUUCAAUAUUAUUUCUGUCAGUUCGAUGCUUCUUCUCUGAUUUGAAAGUCACACAGCCAUUGAGGAAAGGUAAAAUAACCUAGCAGGAUAAAAAUAUCAGACAAAAACAAAAUAUAUAUUUAUGCACGUGUGUAUAUGUGUGUCUAAUAUAUAUAUGUGUAUAUAUAUACACACACACACACACACACACACACACAAACUCCAUGCACUGCCUUAAUGUGCUAAUAAUGCUGCUAUUGAUAUUUCUAUUAUGGGCAAAGAAUGGGGGAGUAGUUUUCUUUUUUUAACAAAUAAGAAUUUAAGUACACAAUUUUAAUAGGAAUGCCAUCUGCAAUUUUAAAUGAUUGUACUGUUAGGACACAUAUGUAAUUUAAUAUAAUAAAGCUGAAUGGAUAAUUAAACAGGAAGAAAAUAAAAACCCUCCAAAGCAAGGAGACUUUGUACUUAAAAGAAGAUAGCUAAGAGGGAAUUUAGAACGCAACAUGUUGACUUGGAGAUCAAUUGCAAGAGAAUGUACUGGAGGCUGGCCAGAGCUUAGAAUGGUGAAUCUCUGGGAUGGCAGUGCAAGCUCAGGACGUUAGAAAUGGGUUUUCCAAAAGGAGCCAGAACUGCAGACUGGGGAGGGCAUGUAGAACAAAUAAUAUCAAAGGGGUAAGGGACCUUAAAACCCAAAAUGUGGGAGAUGUUCAGAGCCUGCAAUCAAAUUGUGAGAUGUGAGCAUGCAAAAUAUCGGGCCUGGGAGGAACCAUGGAGAAGGGAAUGUUAGAACUUGGAGGAAAGGAUAAAAAAGCCAGGAAAGGCCUUAGCACACACAAUUUCAGGCCUAGCUUGGGUCAUCCAACCUCACAGUAUCAGAGCUGGGUGGGCUCUGAUGAUCCCAAGAACUCAAAAUAGCAUCGCUGGGAAAAACUUGUUUCUUUGCUCAGGGAAGGGCAGAAUUUAUAAGCAAUAAUAACUAAGAAUAUUUAGAGGUGGAGGUAGGACCUAUAUUUCCUAUAUAUUUCAUUAUAACUGACAUUAACACAAUGGGCAGCCUCUGAAUUAACUCUCAAAUCACACAGUCAAAGAUAGAGGGUAAAUAUACAGGCUUACUCUGAUUCUAGUAGAAAGAAAGAAAGGAAGGAAGGAAGAAAAGGAAAAGAAAAACUAAUUGAGCACACAAUAAUUGCAUUUAAUGUCCUGAAGGGUUGAGGCUGCUAAAGAUAUUACUACUAUCGUUAAUGAGUGGUCAGUAUGCGCUGAAAAAAAUAAAGCAAAUAUACAAAAUUCAAAAGAAACAAUCUUUGCUUUCAAAAUAUUGUAUUGCUUAUAUUAUACAUAUACAUAUUAUAUAUUCUACAUAUAUAAAUAAGUGAAAAGUCAAACUAACCUUAGAAUAUCAGAAGAGGAAAAGGACUUUGACCAUAAAAUGAUACAGAUGAAAGCAUCCUUCCAUAAUAGUGUCUGAUUUGGAGAUGCCUUUCAUCUUUUUUUUUUUGGAGGUGCCUUUCAAAAGAAUAUUUUGGAAGUUGGACAUAGAUUUCCUGUCCUGGGGCAGCAGUCCCAGCUGUAAGUGUAAAAAUCAGGAAUUGACAUGAAAGUAAAAAUUUCAGGCCUGAGAGAGGAUAUAGAGCAUAAAACUUGGAGAUAACUUAGAAUCAAAAGACUGCAGGGUCCCUAGGAUCUGGAAUCUCAAAUGUGAGAAGGACUUCAGAAUGCAGAAAGGUAGUAAUGGUCAGUGCCAAAGAACAGAAAUUGUCUGAUUAUGUGGUAUCUGAGCACAUGGGAUGUAGGGCCUGGGGGAAGCUAUAGAGGAGAGAAUGUCAGAGCAGUCAGGGCACUUAGAAGAAGGGAUAGCAGAGCCAGGAAAUGUACAGAACAUCCGAUAUCAGGACUAGCUCUAGACAAAACUGCACAGGGUCAGGUUUGAAAGUGCUCUUAAAACAUAGAUUAGAAGAGCUUCAAUGUGUCUGAGAACACACAUUAUCCUUGCUGAGAAGGAGACUUUUUAUGUGCUCAGAGGUCCAUGUUAUGAGAAUGGUAAGUUAUAUUUUAAAACAUUUUAAAAUAUAUUUAUGGUUUGAAAUGCACCCUAUAUGUCAAUAUAAUAUCUAUAAGCACAAUAGUAAUCCUCUGAAUUAAAACUCAUGUCCUGAAUCACACAGCCAAAAUGGAAAUUUGAAUAUGCAGUGCCUCAUCUGGAUUAAAAAGGAAAGCAAUGAAAAGAAGACAAAUUACUGAUUAAAAAAAUAAAUAAUACAGCAUUUUAAAGGACCCCACACAUAAGCCUGCAGUAUCAGAUAUAGGUAAUGAAAACAAAAAGUGAGCCUAGUGGCUCUGAACCUGCAGAACCUCUGCGAUUGAGUUGAGCAGCAGUCUACAUACACUCAAUCACAUAUAAGCCAACAGAUCCAAACUGAGUCAGGGAUUUGCAGAGCACAGACCAGGAGGGCAGUGACCACACCUUUCUCUCCCCAGAUCACACCAUUUUGGAAGCACUGAAAACUUUUAGGCCCCCCUCAGUCUGGGGAGACUGAGUUGUAAAAGUAGUAGAAGGGCAUAUAAGACAGAAACUCAGGUCAGUCAUUCCCCUUGGAAGUGAGCAGAGCCCAACUUUAACAAGAACAAAGUCAAGAAAUAGGCUGGAAAAAGAUCAAAUAACAACAACCAAAAGAACCUCACCUACUAUGGGGACAGGAAAGCUCAAGAAACAAAGUCAAAAGAAGACAAUGACUUAAAAACACCUACAAGUUAAGACUCAGAGAAAAUGUAGAUUGAACACAAGCCCAACAAGAAUUCGUAGAAGAACUAAA